rnacentral:rRNA from 1 species
ACGCACGCUGGCGGCGUGCUUCACACAUGCCAGUCGAACGGAAAGGCCCUGCUUUUGUGGGGUGCUCGAGUGGCGAACGGGUGAGUAACACGUGAGUAACCUGCCCUUGACUUUGGGAUAACUUCAGGAAACUGGGGCUAAUACCGGAUAGGAGCUCCUGCUGCAUGGUGGGGGUUGGAAAGUUUCGGCGGUUGGGGAUGGACUCGCGGCUUAUCAGCUUGUUGGUGGGGUAGUGGCUUACCAAGGCUUUGACGGGUAGCCGGCCUGAGAGGGUGACCGGCCACAUUGGGACUGAGAUACGGCGCAGACUCCUACGGGAGGCAGCAGUGGGGAAUAUUGCACAAUGGGCGGAAGCCUGAUGCAGCAACGCCGCGUGCGGGAUGACGGCCUUCGGGUUGUAAACCGCUUUCGCCUGUGACGAAGCGUGAGUGACGGUAAUGGGUAAAGAAGCACCGGCUAACUACGUG